rnacentral:rRNA from 1 species
GACGAACGCUGGCGGCGUGCUUAACACAUGCAAGUCGAGCGGUAAGGCCCUUUCGGGGGUACACGAGCGGCGAACGGGUGAGUAACACGUGGGUGACCUGCCCUCAGCUCUGGGAUAAGCCUGGGGAAACCGGGUCUAAUACUGGAUAUGACUCCAUGACGCAUGUUGUGGGGUGGAAAGCCUUGUGCGGCUGAGGAUGGGCCCGCGGCCUAUCAGCUUGUUGGUGGGGUGANGGCCUACCAAGGCGACGACGGGUAGCCGGCCUGAGAGGGCGACCGGCCACACUGGGACUGAGACACGGCCCAGACUCCUACGGGAGGCAGCAGUGGGGAAUCUUGCGCAAUGGGCGAAAGCCUGACGCAGCGACGCCGCGUGAGGGAUGACGGCCU